rnacentral:sRNA from 1 species
AGGAACCUUCAAGUAUGUGUAGAGGGUAACAAAAGUCAAAAUAGAAAUGUAUUAGGUUAUGAGGUGACACUAAGCGCCUCCUUGGCAUCCUUUUUAGAGAAGAAUUCGCUUGAGCGUCCCUUAGCAUCCUCUGAGCACUUUAUUCCAGUGAGCUUUUGCGUCUAGGCACCCCUCCAACCAUUGAGCAUCUUUGGGCAGAUACUAUCCAUAUCUGCAUGAGCAGCAAAAUUUGUAAUGCAACAGCUCAAGAAGAUGUUUCCAAAAGCUUCUGAGCCGGUUCGGUAUCUGGUUUCUCGAAGGGGAACAGAUCCAGACUCUCUUGGAUGUUACUCAUAUGAUUUAGUUGGAAAACCAAUUGAUGUUUAUGACAAGCUUUUCCUGCACCCUUGGGCAAUCUAUUCUUUGGGGGAGAAGCUGUAAGCUUGGACAACCAGGGAUCUGUGCAUGGAGCAUACUCUGCUGCGGUUAUGGCUGCAGAAAAUUGUGACAAAUAUCUUUUAGAGAAACGUGUUGUCACGAUGGAAUAUGUAAAUUAUUGGUGUAUCUGAAUAACUUUUAUUUUAGCUUUAAAAUUUAAAAUUAAUUUUUAAAUUUUAUAAUCUUAGAAAA